CCGCCCGCUCUGCUGUGGCCUAUGGCUUUUCAUUCCUAUGUGAUUACUGUUCCAAACUCAUGUAGGGCUAAAAGCCAUGGGUUACAGUGAGGGGCGUGCGCCUACUCCUGCAC
ensembl:miRNA